UCAGACAAGGUCUCUCCAUAGUUUUUAGUUUGGUAUUUAUUAAAACUAAAAUUCUUAAAACUAAAAACUAUGGAGAGACCUAGUCUGA
rnacentral:miRNA from 1 species